AGAUUGCAAGCUGCAACUCGCCUGUAUGAAGUUGGAAUUGCUAGUAAUCGCGGAUCAGCAUGCCGCGGUGAAUACGUUCCCGGGCCUUGUACACACCGCCCGUCACACCAUGAGAGCCGGUAAUACCCGAAGUCAGUAUCCUAACCGCAAGGAGGGAGCUGCCGAAGGUAGGAUUGGCGAUUGGGGUGAAGUCGUAACAAGGUACC
rnacentral:rRNA from 1 species